rnacentral:rRNA from 1 species
UACGGGGGGGGCAAGCGUUGUUCGGAAUUACUGGGCGUAAAGGGCGCGUAGGCGGUUCGCUAAGUUGGAUGUGAAAACUCUGGGCUCAACCCAGAGCCUGCAUCCAAAACUGGCGGGCUAGAGUUCUGGAGGGGGUAGCGGAAUUCCUGGUGUAGCGGUGAAAUGCGUAGAUAUCAGGAGGAACACCGGUGGCGAAGGCGGCUACCUGGACAAAUACCGACGCUGAGGCACGAAAGCUAGGGGAGCAAACAGG